AGCCCGCCUACCAAUAGAAGAAUUGCUCAGAUUUUUCCUUCUAAAACACUUUUUUCUUGCCCUUCACGUUGACAGACACCUCAGGCAGCCAAAGAGCGUAAAGCUGUGAGGAGCGUGGAUGAGAAGAGCGGCGUUGAUCCCACAGCCCGGGGAAGGAUGGCGCCAGAGUGCACGGAGCCUGCUGCAGUUUGUCUUCAUGUCCCUGGCAGCUCUCACAAAUCAAUCAAGAUCUCCUUAAUGCGUGGAACUUUAAAGUUAGUGUCUUCAUAAUUCCAAAGACGUGAAAUAACUGUCAACAAGUGACAGAUUGUUAGACGGGUUUGAAAAAAAAAAUGCUGCCACUUCUUUAUAAAGUAUAUUUUUCUUCUAGUAAACGAAAAAAUAUAAAUAUGACCAAAAGUGAGUCAGACUAUUUCUGCUCCCGAGGAUUGAAACGAGACUUAAACUCUGAGGUGCUGAUGUGGGAGUGCAGUGAACCAUCACCCGAUUUGUUAAUUAUAAUAUUCACAAACCGGUAUUCUAUAGAGAGGUAUUUAAAAUAACAAAAAGACGUUAGAAUAAAGUUUAAAAAGUUAUCUGUUAAACAAGUAGACUUUGUCAUACUCUCAAAUACGUCGUAUCAGUUUUAGACCUAAAUAAACAUGAAAUUUCUAUAUUAAUAGCAACUAAAGAAAUCUUUUAAUUGUUUUGCGAAGUAUGUGUUGAGCUGAACUGGAUUAUGCAUGUGAUGACAAAGAUUAUGAAUAUCUAAAUGAGUGGCGAGGAAGCAGCUGCAGGAGCGCACAGAUUGGCAAACAAUCUCAAGGUGUGCAGCCGCUUCAUGGGGAAAUAAGGUGGUCGUGUGCGCAGUGGAGUGUGCGGGACAAAGAGCGGAGAAGAAGGAAAGUCUGGCAGGCGACAUCGAAGAAGAAAAACGGCUCCAAUCAGCACACCGGUGUCACGUCUCAUUUUGGAAAGCUGCUCCUCAAAAACUUCAUCACUGGCCUCCUAAGAUUCACUGCGGACGCUGGCUGACCUCAGCGAGUGACCUCUCCAAUCAUAGAUCAAAGCCGUCUGCUUCCCAGCUAGUCGGGUUAAUCAGAGGACCACCCUGAAGAGCCAAUCAGGUAAUUUAAUAAAUUCCCAGAGCUCUGGGUGGAAUUAGAAGAAGCUAGACUUUGGUCAGAGGAGAGCUUUUAAGAAAGCUGGGAUCGUACAUCAGAGGCCCAGCAGUCGAUGGUAAUGUAAUGAACGUUUACAUUUACCUGCUUCUCACCUUUCCUGUUGGUAUAUACCCACAAUCUAAACUGCACUUGUCAAAGCAUCAGCCCAGUUUGUUUUCAUAAAUAUGCUGUAUCUCUUUUUUUCCAUCUCUCUCCUCCAUGCUCCUGCUCGAAAAAUUAGAUAUUUGGUGUUUUAGUGAAGGGCUUGAGGUGUGGUUAGCGUACGCACGCGUGUGUGUGUGUGCAAGCAUGUUGGGGUUGGGGUUGCAGAGAGCUGCUCACGAUGCCAGAACUAGCACUUCUGGUUGGAAAAAAGGAGUCUGAGUUUUCGUCAGACGUGUAGGGAAGACAGACAGGGCGAGGGAAAGGCUUUUUGAAAGUGCAGUCCAAAAGCAACAGAAAACACUCCCUCUUGACCAUGUGGUCAAAAAUGGGUGUAGAGGGAGAGGCGGCAUCUGGCGUGAUGCCUGGAAUGAAAAGAAGCAAAUAUACCCUCCUCGUCCUGCAGUGUGCACCUUAUAUUGCCAGCUACAAACCGUGUGUAGGCGAAGAGAGACAGGAAGGUAGAGGGAGAAACAGGUAGAGUCAAGAGCAAGACGCAGACAGACAGAUAAAAAGCGGAUCAGCAAGAAAGACAGACAGACAGAUUCACAUAUAAAAGCGCCAGGAAGGAGUAUACUGAGAAGCGUGGAGGCAUAUCAUGAACAAGGUCAGAAAGACAUCGCUUGGCAGAACAGGAAAUGAUACAGGAUAUAUCUUCUCUCUCUCACUCGCUCUCUGUGCUCUCCAAGGCCUGUGCUGUAAGUGACAGUGCUGCAGAGGGAAGUUGACAUUGCUGAAGUAUGAAUUUCACCCAUUUGUGUUUUGCGGAAAACACGGAAUCGAGGCUGUCUGUCUGGAUCAGGGGCUAGGCCCUUGACCUUUUAAUGACCCCUUCUGAGCAGACGGCAGGAUUUUAUUGGCCAGUCAGAUUCAAUUUAUUAAACACUAUGCAACUCUAUUCGAAACUUCUUAGUUAUUCUUUCCAAAUGUGGUUGUGAUAUCCAUUUGGAAAUGGAUGUGAAAGAUGUUCAGCAUCUUUUAUGACCACUUUUGGACCUCUUACUUUACUUUACGUGCUUUGCUUACUGCUUUUUUAGAUAAACCAGCGUGGUCAUGUAUUUAAAAAUAAAGGAUAUUUUUAAAUACUGUAUAUAUCAUUAAUCAGCCUGAAAUGCUUUUUUAAGCCCAGCACAAAUCCAACACGUGGCCAGAGAGUCAAAACAGAGCAAAGGUGAGAUUACUUGGAAAUAAUUGGAAAUAAAUCAAUACAAGAGCAAGCUUCACAUCAAUGUUUUUUAACCAUGCGAGGCAAAAACUGCUCUAAAUAUUACGUUGAAAUAAAUGACUCAUGCAGCAGAACCCAGGCAAUAAGAGGCCUUAAUCUGGAGCCCAAAUAAAAAGCACUAACAUAUCUGCAUACACAUGUAUAUUGACACACAUGCACGGGCAGAACAGUGGGUAAUACAAUACACACAGCUAUGGAGUGGUGGGGUAAAGUGAGACCUUCCUGUAAUCAAAAGAAACAGUGUGCUAUAAUAAAGCCCAUUUUGAAACGGUCUAUGGCCUGAGGGAUCAAUCCUUCUGUUGGAAUGAGGAAGAGAAAAUGGACACUAAGCUGUGUCUCACAAAAAGAACAGAAUAGAAUAAAGUAGAAUAGAGCGCUACAGAAGUGGAUGAUUGUACCGUCUUAAUAACACUAUGUUUUGUUGACUUGAGAUCUCGUUUCUGUUCUUCCUUUGUCCUCUUUUACCUUCUUCCCUCUUCUUUUGUGGCAUCUUCUCUCCUGAUGUUGCAGGUUGCACUUCGUUUGCGAGUCUCUUGGGCAACAUCCAUCAGCUGAAUGGAUAGAGGCUGUGCAACAGCAGCGCUACAGCAAAAAGAGGGCAGAGGGUAUUACCUUUCCAAAAACCACAGAAACACCAGUCUGGAAUCAAUCUGGGGACAGGACUUUGUAAGGCGACUACUUUCCACAUCGGGGGGCCAAUCAGGAACAGAUGGAAAAGGUGAUGACCCCCCCCGGCAUGCGAGAGCAACAGCGAAACUGCCACUCAAAAUCCCAGCAUGUGGACAUGUGUGAGUGGAGAUUUGUGUGUCAGAGGACGAUGGGAGGUUGUGUUAUGGCUCUGAGGGUGCUACAGCAAGAGGGGUCCCCAUACGAAUAGAUCAGUUGUCAAGGCCGUGGGCAGGACAGCGCGGUGAAGCACAGCGUCUGCCUUUUGGCCUUCGGCUUGCGUGACACACAUUCCCUGCCAUUCUUGCCUAACACAUCAGCAUGCAGUCUGCUUAUCAAUCAGUCAGUCAGCUCCUUCAUUCCAACCCCCAGCUGCUGUUUCUUGUCGCGCUGGAGGUGAUGAUACAUGCGCAACAUUUUAGGGCAAUGCAGCUCAACUUUGCUGCCAACAGUUAUACUGAUGAUAUCUGAAGGGAUUUAAAAAAAUGAUGUGCAUGUCGGUUUGAGUAAAAAUUGCAACUUGGAAUGUACAUUAACUCUAGUUAACACUUUUUUUUAUAUACACCUCUGUGUGGCAUUUUGGUGUAAAGAAAAAC